rnacentral:sRNA from 1 species
UCAAACAAAAAAAAAUACCCAUAAAAAUUCUCAUAUUAAAAAAAAAUAUAUAUAUAACAAAAAGGGAAUGCAAAAAAAGAAUUGUGGUUACAAAAACGUACACCUUAAAAACCCCAAAGUGAAUUGUACCAAAGGUUUUGAAACCUCAACAACAACAACAAGAUAACGCCAAGUCGCUGCUUUAUAAACAACAUCAAUCUUUUCCUCCUUCUCCAGCUGCCAAAUGUAAACACAAGAAAAAAUCUGAUACAUCCAUAUCAACGGUCCGGUGACUAAAGCCAUUGACUGCGUUAGUCAAAUGAAAGAGUAGCGAAUUGAAUUCUCAGACCAAAAAAAAA